CUACGUGCCAGCAGCCGCGGUAAUACGGAAGGUCCAGGCGUUAUCCGGAUUUAUUGGGUUUAAAGGGAGCGUAGGCGGACGAUUAAGUCAGCUGUGAAAGUUUGCGGCUCAACCGUAAAAUUGCAGUUGAAACUGGUUGUCUUGAGUGCACGCAGGGAUGUUGGAAUUCAUGGUGUAGCGGUGAAAUGCUUAGAUAUCAUGAAGAACUCCGAUCGCGAAGGCAUAUGUCCGGAGUGCAACUGACGCUGAGGCUCGAAAGUGCGGGUAUCGAACAGGAUUAGAUACCCUGGUAGUCCGCACAGUAAACGAUGAAUACUCGCAGUAUGCGAUAUAAUGUAUGCUGCCAAGUGAAAACGUUAAGUAUUCCACCUGGGGAGUACGCCGGCAACGGUGAAACUCAAAGGAAUUGACGGGGGCCCGCACAAGCGGAGGAACAUGUGGUUUAAUUCGAUGAUACGCGAGGAACCUUACCCGGGCUUGAAC
rnacentral:rRNA from 1 species